GGAGCACCCCUAUUGGGUGUGGUUACUUUAAUGACAACAAACUCUCAAUGCUAGCUGCUAAUUAGCCGAACGAGUGAAAUUUACGAAUGAAUGAAAUUUACAUAUUGAAAAUUUAUGAAAUUUGCUUCUAAUAACUUUCUAGCAAGUAAGAAAAUUAUCGGAAGUGCCAUGACAACACGUUUAAGGGUCGUAUGCAGUUUGAGAGCAACUGAACGCGAUUUGAUUACGAUUCACAAAACAUUAGUGAAACUUAUUUUGAAGACAGGAAUAAAACAAUUUCCUUACCAGAGUCCGAAAAUCUCGGUCUCCCGAGGUCGCGGAAAUAGUAGGCAUUUCCCACCAGCAUCCUCCUAAUGAAGACUCCUAUAGCGCCUAUCGAGACACUGCUGACCGCCACUUCCAGCUUCUGACGGCAGUCUUCAUACUCGCCCAGCGCAAUCCCAUAAGGAAAGUUGAACUGAACAGUGUCCAGCGGUGUUCAGAUCAAACCCACAAGUUUGCACAUGUGAACGGAUUCAGCUGAGCGCAUAGCCCUCCGUGACACUGGUUGAAUUCACUCGGUUGGGCUGCACCCAAAGAAAACACAAAGUGGUGGUGCUGAAUUGCUUCUUCAUGAAUGAAAAGCUGUUGGCUGGCUCGCAUCACCCUCAGUACAAGCCUUCUGGGAUGCGUUGUCUUCUGCCAAUCUGAAACUGCUCCUCCCUCCCCAGCUUUGCUCUUCUCCACUAGACUUCUAUUACAUGAUCAUUUGACUAUACCAAAUCCCACUUGUGCUCCUCAAAUCCAUAAGAAAUCAAGUUAGAGACAUGGAGAAUAUGAAAAAAUGAGAAAGCAGAAAAAAAAUCUGGCAAAAGGGUUUCAGAGUGUAAAUUUUAUUAAUGCCAGCAGCUGCAAAUAGUCUAUACGAGAAAUACUACAAAUAAAAAGGUUAUGAAUCAA